AGAGGCUGCUGUUCCUCUCCUG
rnacentral:miRNA from 1 species